GGAAAGGGCUGUAGCUCAGUGAGAGAGCAUCUGCCUCUCAUGCAGGAGGUCCUGGGUUCAACCCCCAGCAUUUCCA